GAUGAACGCUAGCGGCAGGCUUAACACAUGCAAGUCGAGGGGCAGCAUGAAGGUUGGCAAUAACCUUUGAUGGCGACCGGCGCAAGGGUGCGUAACGCGUGAGCAACUUGCCCGUUUCAGGGGGAUAACCGGUGGAAACGCCGACUAAUACCCCAUAGUACAAUCUUAAGGCAUCUUUGGUUGUUAAAGAAAUUCGGAAACGGAUAGGCUCGCGUGACAUUAGCUAGAUGGCGGGGUAACGGCCCACCAUGGCGACGAUGUCUGGGGGUUCUGAGAGGAAGGUCCCCCACACUGGAACUGAGACACGGUCCAG
rnacentral:rRNA from 1 species